GUGUAUCAGCCGUACACCGCGGUUCUGGGCGCGCCGUCCGCGCCCGCCUGACGGCGGCUUGCGACCUUUUGUUAGCC
rnacentral:sRNA from 1 species